GACGGAGGGUGCAAGCGUUGCUCGGAAUCACUGGGCGUAAAGGGUGCGUAGGCGGUCUCGCAAGUCUGGCGUGAAAGCCCAAGGCUCAGCCUUGGAAGUGCGCUCGAAACGGCGAGGCUGGAGUGCCGGAGGGGAGAGUGGAAUUCCCGGUGUAGCGGUGAAAUGCGUAGAGAUCGGAAAGAACACCAACGGCGAAAGCACUCUGCUGGGCCGACACUGACACUGAGAGACGAAAGCUAGGGGAGCGAAUGGG
rnacentral:rRNA from 1 species